rnacentral:hammerhead_ribozyme from 1 species
ACACUUCUGAGGAGUCCCAUAAUAGGACGAAACAGCUGUCCAGUGC